AUUCCAGCCCUAACAAUAUUAUACUAAAGUAUUAAAAGCUAUGAUCUCUAAAUUUAAAGGAUUUGGCGGUGAUUUAAUCCCAUUAGAGGAACCUGUUAAGUAAACGAUAAACCACGCAAUAUCUUACCUGCUUUCAGUUUGUAUACCGUCAUUAUUAGAUAACUUUCCAAGAAUAAGUUAUUACAAUAAAAUAUUUUAAUAUAUUAGAUCAAGGUGCAGCUUAUAGGCCGGAAACCAAUGGGUUACAAUAAAACUUAUUUAAACGAAUAUAAAAUUUAAAUAUUUUAUUAAAGGAGGAUUUAAUAGUAAAUUCAGUUUAACAAGCUGACUUGACAAUGGACCUAAAUCGUGUACAUAUCGCCCGUCACUUGCAUUCCCAAAUGAAAUAAGUCGUAACAUAG
rnacentral:rRNA from 1 species